rnacentral:rRNA from 1 species
CCUACGGGAGGCUGCAGUGGGGAAUAUUGCACAAUGGGCGCAAGCCUGAUGCAGCCAUGCCGCGUGUGUGAAGAAGGCCUUCGGGUUGUAAAGCACUUUCAGCGGGGAGGAAGGCGGUGAGGUUAAUAACCUCAUCGAUUGACGUUACCCGCAGAAGAAGCACCGGCUAACUCCGUGCCAGCAGCCGCGGUAAUACGGAGGGUGCAAGCGUUAAUCGGAAUUACUGGGCGUAAAGCGCACGCAGGCGGUCUGUCAAGUCGGAUGUGAAAUCCCCGGGCUCAACCUGGGAACUGCAUUCGAAACUGGCAGGCUAGAGUCUUGUAGAGGGGGGUAGAAUUCCAGGUGUAGCGGUGAAAUGCGUAGAGAUCUGGAGGAAUACCGGUGGCGAAGGCGGCCCCCUGGACAAAGACUGACGUUCAGGUGCGAAAGCGUGGGGAGCAAACAGGAUUAGAUACCCCUGUAGUC